rnacentral:rRNA from 1 species
UACGUAGGGUGCGAGCGUUAAUCGGAAUUACUGGGCGUAAAGCGCGCGCAGGCGGCCUUUUAAGUCCGACGGUGAAAUGCCGGGGCUCAACCCCGUGCCCGCCGCGGAUACUGGGAGGCUGGAGACGAGUAGAGGCAAGCGGAAUUCCGGGUGUAGCGGUGGAAUGCGUAGAGAUCCGGAAGAACACCGGAGGCGAAGGCGGCUUGCUGGGCUCGGUCUGACGCUGAGGCGCGAAAGCUAGGGGAGCAAACGGG